AACGUAGGUGGCAAGCGUUAUCCGGAUUUACUGGGCGUAAAGGGUGUGCAGGCGGAGGCUCAAGUGGUGUAUGAAAUCGCCCGGCUCAACCGGGCGGGGUUAUGCCAGACUGAGCUUCUAGAGACCGAGAGAGGGGCGUGGAAUUCCGGGUGUAGUGGUGAAAUGCGUAGAGAUCCGGAGGAACCCCAGAGGCGAAGGCGGCGCCCUAGCUCGGUUCUGACGCUCAGACACGAAAGCAUGGGGAGCGAACGGG
rnacentral:rRNA from 1 species